CCUACGGGAGGCAGCAGUGGGGAAUAUUGGACAAUGGGCGCAAGCCUGAUCCAGCCAUACCGCGUGUGUGAAGAAGGCCUUCGGGUUGUAAAGCACUUUAAGCAGGGAGAAAAAGUUAUAAGUUAAUACCUUAUAACCGUGAUGUUACCUGCAGAAUAAGCACCGGCUAAUUCCGUGCCAGCAGCCGCGGUAAUACGGAAGGUGCAAGCGUUAAUCGGAAUUACUGGGCGUAAAGCGCGCGUAGGUGGUUUGUUAAGUUGGAUGUGAAAGCCCUGGGCUCAACCUAGGAACUGCAUCCAAAACUAACUCACUAGAGUACGAUAGAGGGAGGUAGAAUUCAUAGUGUAGCGGUGGAAUGCGUAGAUAUUAUGAAGAAUACCAGUGGCGAAGGCGGCCUCCUGGAUCUGUACUGACACUGAGGUGCGAAAGCGUGGGUAGCGAACAGGAUUAGAUACCCUGGUAGUCCACGCCGUAAACGAUGACAACUAGCUGUUGGAAGACAACGUCUUUCAGUGGCGCAGCUAACGUUUUAAGUUGUCCGCCUGGGGAGUACGGCCGCAAGGCUAAAACUCAAAUGAAUUGACGG
rnacentral:rRNA from 1 species